rnacentral:lncRNA from 1 species
AGGAGGGCGGCGGUGGGAAUGGGAUGGCGGCGACGGUCUUCUGGAACGCGGGGCGCUUGGCGAUCUCCUCCCACCACGCCUUAACAUGGGGGCGGUCGUUGACGAGCCCAGCCUUGGGGGUCUUGGUGAGGUAGAGCAGGUAGGACGCGUGGUUGGCGUCGGCGAGCGUGAACUCGUCGCCGGCGAGGUACUUGUUGCUGGCGAGGUGCGCCUCGUAGACGUCGAGCACCUUGGCGAGCUCGUGCGCGUGCUUGUCCACCACCAAUGGGUCCGGGGCGCCGCCGAAGAGCGGCCUGAAGAGGAGCUGGAACACCAGCGGCGACGCGUUCGGGUAGAAGUGGUGCGACUCCACCUCCAGCCACACCUCGAGCUUCGCCGACGCCGUCGCCGGGAGCAGCGCCGCGCCCGACGACGCGUACUUGGUCGCGAUGUACCGGUUGAUGGCACGGGACUCUGCGGUGAAAUGUGCGCGCGGUCAGGUGAGGUGAAUAGAUCAGCUAGUUCAGCAGCAGGAUUUAGUGACUAGAUUUGACAUGGGCAUCCAUCCAUCAAGUUCAAGGUAAAAUAAGCCAGGUUCUCCAGACGAAAUCCAAGUGGUCAACACUCAACAGGGAUAAUGUUCAAUAUUUAAAAAUGGGGAGGAAAAACAAAAAGAUACUGUUCCUAGAUCUGGAUCUCGUUAUUCGAUUCAUAAUCAUAAUUAACCGGUACCAGGAAUUAUUAUGUCAGUAAAAAACAGAGUGGGUGAAUGGGGAGUUUACC